rnacentral:lncRNA from 1 species
UUUUUUUUUGGUUGUGACUGCCAAGUCAUUGGUUGUUGAAGAACCACCAUCAUAGCUUUUGGAUUCGACACUUCGGGACGUGUGCGAAGAGCAUCAUGUGAUUGAUCCCUAGACGAGAUAUUUCGUCUUGUAAUCCGAAUGCAUAGUCGAAUUAACUAAACAAUACCCUGCCCCCGGUUAAACGUAAGGGUUUUUAGAUCCGAAAGAAACACCUACUUCUAGGCUCGAAG